AGGAGAGGCGGGAUGAAGGAGGAGACGCAGUGAACGACAGAGGAGGAGGAGGAGGGAGACUCGAGCGUUCGAGGCUCUCCUGACGUGCCUGGUGGUAUCACGUCCUGACUCUCCCCCCCCGUCAUGGCUCUGUCACUGUGGUUCCUGUUUGUGUCUGUCACCACCCUAACUCACGUUGCCCCCUCUGGCCAAGCGAUGUCCAGAGCUGCGAUUCCCUUCGGCAUCCUGAGGAGGGAGCUAGCGUGUGAGGGCUACCCUAU